CCGGAUUGAAUAUCUGAAAAUGGAAAGGAGAUUUAAUAGAAAAAAGAUUACCAAAAAUUGAAGCAGGAAAAGUUACACAAUAAGGCAUAGACAGAUAGAAUCAGCAAGCCAAGAACUUACAAGUGAAAUUGAAAAAAAAUCUGAUGCCCGUCUUCACACUCGAGAUGGAAUACGAAAACAAAAUACCCUAUUGCAUUCAUUGUGUGGGCUUCGGCCAUUGGCCAAAACACUGUAGAGGGGUGAUGAACAUGCUUAAAGGAUGCUGAGAAGAAUACAUCAACAGAAAGCAGACCGGAGAAGAACCUGUCGAUCGCUAGAACGAUGGCUGUGCUGAAAUUUCAAAUCCAAAAAUAUCGGGAAGUACAGUUCGCCGUAGGAGACCAAGAGAUAGACGUAGGCUCAGUAGGAGGACAGAAUACAAACAGAUCAAUCGGCAACAGAGUCCCAAAACAGAUUAUCCGAGACGUGGAUUUCAAUCCCCAUCCCCGCGUACCUGAAAAUGACUAGGGAUUUCGAUAGGGGACGAGGAUUUUCCUACUUUCUGGUAGGAAAGUCCUCCCCAUAUCCAUACCCGUUCGUCUGGAGACGACGGGUGCCGG
rnacentral:lncRNA from 1 species